CCGACAGGCGUAGGCGAUGGACAACGGGUUGAUAUUCCCGUACCCGUGUGAACGCGCCCAUGGCGAACCUUGUGAUACUAACCGCCCGAAGCCCGGGUUCAGUCUUCGGACUGUUCCCGACGUGGAGCGCGGGACCUGAACUUGUAGUAGUCAAGCGAUGGGGUGACGCAGGAGGGUAGCUCCGCCAGUGAGUGGUAGUACUGGUGUAAGCGUGUAGGCCGUCUGGUAGGCAAAUCCGCCAGGCAUAUAGGCUGAGACGUGAUGCAUAGCCGAUUGAGGCGAAGUAGAGUGAUCCCAUGCUGCCGAGAAAAGCCUCUAGUGAGUGUUCAUGCGGCCCGUACCCCAAACCGACUCAGG
rnacentral:rRNA from 1 species